rnacentral:lncRNA from 1 species
CGCUCCUCCAACGCGCGGCCCUCAGCCGCCACCACCGCCCACGCCGACGUCAUGGCUGCCUGGGGGGAGAGCGGGGGGUCAGCCCCAUAGCGGACCCACACACCCACUGUUGUGGGGCUCAGCCCCAUAGGGGACCCCACACACCCACUGCCGUGGGGCUCAGCCCCAUAGCGGACCCCACAGACCCACUGCCGUGGGGCUCAGCCCCAUAGGGGACCCCACAGACCCAUUGUUGUGAGGCUAAGCCCUAUAGGGGAUCACACAGACCCAUUGCCGUGGGGCUCAGCCCCAUAGCGGACCCCACACACACACUGCCGUGGGGCUCAGCCCCAUAGCGGACCCCACAGACCCAUUGUUGUGAGGCUCAGCCCUAUAGGGGAUCACACAGACCCACUGCUGUGGGGCUCAGCCCCAUAGCGGACCCCACAGACCCAUUGUUGUGGGGCUCAGCCCUAUAGGAGACGCUGGAGAGUCCCCAUUGGAGGGCUUCGGCCCUAUAUGAGGCUGUAGGGGUGCCAUGGGUGGGGCUCAGCCCUAUAGGGGACCCCACAGACCCAUUGUUGUGGGGCUCAGCCCCAUAGGGGACCCCACAGACCCACUGCUGUGGGGCUCAGCCCCAUAGGGGACCCCACACACCCACUGCCGUGGGGCUCAGCCCUAUAGGAGACACUGGAGAGUCCCCACUGGAGGGCUUCGGCCCUAUAUGAGGCUGUAGGGGUGCCAUGGGAGGUGCUCAGCCCCAUAGGGGACCCCACACACCCACUGCCGUGGGGCUCAGCCCCAUAGGGGACCCCACAGACCCAUUGUUGUGGGGCUCAGCCCUAUAGGGGACUCCAGAGACACAUUGCUAUGAGGCUCAGCCCCAUAGGGGAUCACACAGACCCGUUGCCGUGGGGCUCAGCCCUAUAGGGGACCCCACAGACCCAUUGCUAUGAGGCUCAGCCCCAUAGUGGACCCCACAGACCCACUGCCGUGGGGCUCAGCCCCAUAGGGGACCCCACAGACCCAUUGUUGUGAGGCUAAGCCCUAUAGGGGAUCACACAGACCCAUUGCCGUGGGGCUCAGCCCCAUAGCGGACCCCACAGACCCACUGCCGUGGGGCUCAGCCCCAUAGGGGACCCCACAGACCCAUUGUUGUGAGGCUAAGCCCUAUAGGGGAUCACACAGACCCAUUGCCGUGGGGCUCAGCCCCAUAGCGGACCCCACAGACCCACUGCCGUGGGGCUCAGCCCCAUAGCGGACCCCACAGUCCCACUGCCGUGGGGCUCAGCCCCAUAGGGGACCCCACAGACCCAUUGUUGUGAGGCUAAGCCCUAUAGGGGAUCACACAGACCCAUUGCCGUGGGGCUCAGCCCCAUAGCGGACCCCACACACCCACUGUUGUGGGGCUCAGCCCCAUAGCGGACCCCACAGUCCCACUGCCGUGGGGCUCAGCCCUAUAGGAGACACUGGAGAGUCCCCACUGGAGGGCUUCGGCCCUAUAUGAGGCUGUAGGGGUGCCAUGGGAGGUGCUCAGCCCCAUAGGGGACCCCACAGACCCAUUGCUAUGAGGCUCAGCUCUAUAAGGGACCCCACAGAACCAUUCUUGUGGGGCUCAGCCCCAUAGCGGACCCCACAGACCCAUUGUUGUGAGGCUCAGCCCUAUAGGGGAUCACACAGACCCAUUGCUGUGGGGCUCAGCCCUAUAGGGGACCCCACAGACACAUUGUUGUGGGGCUCAGCCCUAUAGGGGAUCACACAGACCCACUGCCGUGGGGCUCAGCCCUAUAGGAGACACUGGAGAGUCCCCACUGGAGGGCUUCGGCCCUAUAUGAGGCUGUAGGGGUGCCAUGGGAGGUGCUCAGCCCUAUAGGAGACCCCACAGACCCAUUGUUGUGAGGCUCAGCCCUAUAGGGGACCCCACAGACCCAUUGCUAUGAGGCUCAGCUCUAUAAGGGACCCCACAGAACCAUUCUUGUGGGGCUCAGCCCCAUAGGGGACCCCACAGACCCACUGCCGUGGGGCUCAGCCCCAUAGGGGACCCCACAGACCCAUUGUUGUGAGGCUAAGCCCUAUAGGGGAUCACACAGACCCAUUGCUGUGGGGCUCAGCCCUAUAGGGGACCCCACAGACACAUUGUUGUGGGGCUCAGCCCCAUAGGGGACCCCACAGUCCCACUGCCGUGGGGCUCAGCCCUAUAGGAGACACUGGAGAGUCCCCACUGGAGGGCUUCGGCCCUAUAUGAGGCUGUAGGGGUGCCAUGGGAGGUGCUCAGCCCUAUAGGAGACCCCACAGACCCGUUGCCGUGGGGCUCAGCCCCAUAGGGGACCCCACACACCCUCUGCCGUGGGGCUCAGCCCCAUAGCGGACCCCACACACCCACUGCCGUGGGGCUCAGCCCUAUAGCAGACCCCACAGUCCCACUGCCGUGGGGCUCAGCCCCAUAGGGGACCCCACAGACCCAUUCUUGUGGGGCUCAGCCCUAUAGGGGACUCCAGAGACACAUUGCUAUGAGGCUCAGCCCUAUAGGGGAUCACACAGACCCGUUGCCGUGGGGCUCAGCCCUAUAGGGGACCCCACAGACCCACUGCCGUGGGGCUCAGCCCCAUAGGGGACCCCACACACCCACUGUUGUGGGGCUCAGCCCCAUAGGGGACCCCACACACCCAUUACUAUGAGGCUCAGCCCCAUAGCGGACCCCACAGACCCAUUCUUGUGGGGCUCAGCCCUAUAGGGGACCCCACAGACCCAUUGUUGUGAGGCUCAGCCCUAUAGGGGAUCACACAGACCCACUGCCGUGGGGCUCAGCCCCAUAGGGGACCCCACACACCCACUGCCGUGGGGCUCAGCCCCAUAGCGGAACCCACACACCCACUGUUGUGGGGCUCAGCCCCAUAGGGGACCCCACAGACCCAUUGAUAUAAGGCUCAGCCCUAUAGGGGACCCCACAGACCCAUUGUUGUGGGGCUCAGCCCUAUAGCGCAUCACACAGACCCAUUGCUAUGAGGCUCAGCCCUAUAGUAGACGCUGGAGAGUCCCCAUAGGAGGGCUUCGGCCCUAUAUGAGGCCGUAGGGGUGCCAUGGGUGGGGCUCAGCCCUAUAGGAGACCCCACAGACCCAUUGUUGUGAGGCUCAGCCCUAUAGGGGACCCCACAGACCCAUUGUUGUGAGGCUCAGCCCCAUAGCGGACCCCACACACCCACUGCCGUGGGGCUCAGCCCUAUAGGAGACCCCACAGACCCACUGCCGUGGGGCUCAGCCCCAUAGGGGACCCCACAGACCCGUUAUUGUGAGGCUCAGCCCCAUAGGGGACCCCACAGACCCACUGCUGUGGGGCUCAGCCCUAUAGGGGACCCCACAGACCCACUGCCGUGGGGCUCAGCCCUAUAGGGGAUCCCACAGACCCAUUCUUGUGGGGCUCAGCCCUAUAGGAGACGCUGGAGAGUCCCCAUUGGAGGGCUUCGGCCCUAUAUGAGGCUGUAGGGGUGCCAUGGGUGGGGCUCAGCCCUAUAGGGGACCCCACAGACCCAUUGUUGUGGGGCUCAGCCCCAUAGGGGACCCCACAGACCCACUGCUGUGGGGCUCAGCCCCAUAGCGGACCCCACAGACCCACUGCCGUGGGGCUCAGCCCCAUAGGGGACUCCAUAGACACAGUGUUGUGGGGCUCAGCCCUAUAGGGGACCCCACAGACCCACUGCCGUGGGGCUCAGCCCCAUAGUGGACCCCACAGACCCAUUGUUGUGAGGCUCAGCCCUAUAGGGGAUCACACAGACCCACUGCCGUGGGGCUCAGCCCUAUAGGAGACCCCACAGACCCAUUGUUGUGAGGCUCAGCCCUAUAGGAGACCCCACAGACCCAUUGUUGUGGGGCUCAGCCCUAUAGGGGAUCCCAGAUAACCCUCCUACUAUGCUCAGCCCUAUAGGAGACCCCACAGACCCAUUGCUAUGAGGCUCAGCCCUAUAGGGGAUCACACAGACCCGUUGUUGUGGGGCUCAGCCCUAUAGGAGACCCCACAGACCCUAUAUAGCCCCUAUAGCCCCUCCAGCUCCCCUAUAGGUCCGAUACCUCCUGUAGCCCCCCCACGACCCCCCUAUGAGAUCCCAUAACUCCCCCUAUAGACCCUGAAACUCCCCAGAAGCCCCCCUAUAGCCCCCACAUUCCCCUAUAGCCCCCCCAUCCCCCUAUAGCCCCCCUAUAGCCCCCACAUCCUCCUAUAGCCCCGCUAUAGCCCCCACAUCCCCCUAUAGCCCCCACAUCCCCCUAUAGCCCCCCUUAUAGCCCCCCUAUAGCCCCCACAUCCCCCUAUAGCCCCCCUAUAGCCCCC